AGAAUUCAAAAAUAUACUAAAAUAGAAUUCUUAAUAAAAUAUUUAAAUAGAAAAUUUAAUUAAAUCCUAGUCAAAUCCUAACCAAAUCCUAAAUAAAUCUUAGUCAAAUCCUAAUAAAUCCUAAUCAAAUCCUUAUCAAACCCUAAAUAAACCUUAACCAAAUUCUAGUCAAAUUCUAAAAAAACCUUAAUAAAAUCCUAGUAAAAUCCUAAACAAAUCCUAAAUAAAUCCUAAUCAAAUUCCAAAUAAAUCCUAGUAAAAUCCUAAACAAAUCCUAAAUAAAUCCUAAUCAAAUUCCAAAUAAAUCCUAGUCAAAUCCUAAUAAAUUCUAACCAAAUCAUAAUCAAAUCCUAACCAAAUUUUAAAUAAAUCUUGAUCAAAAUUUAAUCAAAUUCUAAUCAAAUCCUAAUCAAAAAUUAACCAAAUUCUAUAUAAACCUUAUUCAAAUCCUAAUCAAAUCCUAAAAAAAUCCAAAAUAAAUUUUAAAUAGAUUGUAAAUAAAUCCUAACCAUAUCCUAAACAAUCCCAAAUAAUUUCUGUACUAGAUUUUAAUCUCAAUAACUAAUGAAUGAACUAUUGAUCUUAAUUCAAAAUUUUAAUGCCUCUUAACAAUUAAGUUGACAACAAGUAAUUUUUUUUGAAGAAGAUCAAAUUCACCAAAAGAAAAUUGAUCCUAAUAUUUGCUCUUAUGUUGGCAGGCCUCCUUCUCUAAUAUAAGUGUU
rnacentral:lncRNA from 1 species